UAGGGAAUAUUGCACAAUGGGGGAAACCCUGAUGCAGCGACAUCGCGUGAGUGAUGAAGGCUUUCGGGUUGUAAAGCUCUGUUCUUAAGGAACAAAAAAAUGAGGGUACUUAAGAAGAAAGGACCGGCUAAUUUCGUGCCAGCAGCCGCGGUAAUACGAGGGGUUCAAACGUUAUCCGGAAUUAUUGGGCGUAAAGCGGAUGUAGGUGGCUUUGUCAGUCAGAAGUGAAAGCCUCGGGCUUAACCCGAGAAGUGCUUUUGAUACUGCAAGGCUUGAGUUAGGGAGAGGAUAGUAGAAUUCCUGGUGUAGUGGUGAAAUACGUAGAUAUCAGGAGGAAUACCGGAGGCGAAGGCGUCUAUCUGGCCCGACACUGACACUCAGAUCCGAAAGCGUGGGGAGCAAACAGG
rnacentral:rRNA from 2 species